UACAGAGGGGGCAAGCGUUGUUCGGAAUUACUGGGCGUAAAGGGCGCGUAGGCGGCCCGCUAAGUCGAACGUGAAAUCCCCGAGCUCAACUCGGGAACUGCGUCCGAUACUGGCGGGCUUGAAUCCGGGAGAGGGAUGCGGAAUUCCAGGUGUAGCGGUGAAAUGCGUAGAUAUCAGGAGGAACACCAAUGGCGAAGGCAGCACUCUGGGACGUGACUGACGCUGAGACGCGAAAGCGUGGGGAGCAAACAGG
rnacentral:rRNA from 1 species